rnacentral:rRNA from 1 species
AGUCUAACAUGUGCGCGAGUCAUGGGGCUCGUACGAAACCCAAAGGCGCAAUGAAAGUAAAGGUCUCCUCCGGAGCACCCAGGCAAGAUCCGGCGCCCUCGCGGCGUCGGCGCAUUGCCGGCCCGUCUCGGCGGCAUCGUCCGCGAGGCGGAGCAAGAGCGCACACGUUGGGACCCGAAAGAUGGUGAACUAUGUCUGAGUAGGGCGAAGUCAGAGGAAACUCUGAUGGAGGCCCGCAGCGAUUCUGACGUGCAAAUCGAUCGUCAAACUUGGAUAUAGGGGCGAAAGACUAAUCGAACCAUCUAGUAGCUGGUUCCCUC